GAGGGUAUAGCUCAUUGGUAGAGUGCAGGCCUAGCCUGCACAAGGUCCUGGGUUUGAUUCCCAGUACCUCCA
rfam:Camelus ferus unplaced genomic scaffold scaffold339, whole genome shotgun sequence.